GAUGGACGCUGGCGGCGUGCUUAACACAUGCAAGUCGAACGGAAAGGCUCCUGCUUGCAGGGGUACUCGAGUGGCGAACGGGUGAGUAACACGUGGGUGAUCUGCCCUGCACUUCGGGAUAAGCCUGGGAAACUGGGUCUAAUACCGGAUAGGACGAUGGUUUGGAUGCCAUUGUGGAAAGUUUUUCGGUGUGGGAUGAGCUCGCGGCCUAUCAGCUUGUUGGUGGGGUAAUGGCCUACCAAGGCGUCGACGGGUAGCCGGCCUGAGAGGGUGUACGGCCACAUUGGGACUGAGAUACGGCCCAGACUCCUACGGGAGGCAGCAGUGGGGAAUAUUGCACAAUGGGCGCAAGCCUGAUGCAGCGACGCCGCGUGGGGGAUGACGGCCUUCGGGUUGUAAACUCCUCUCGCUAGGGACGAAGCGCAAGUGACGGUACCUGGAGAAGAAGCACCGGCUAACUACGUGCCAGCAGCCGCGGUAAUACGUAGGGUGCGAGCGUUGUCCGGAAUUACUGGGCGUAAAGAGCUCGUAGGUGGUUUGUCGCGUCGUUUGUGUAAGCCCGCAGCUUAACUGCGGGACUGCAGGCGAUACGGGCAUAACUUGAGUGCUGUAGGGGAGACUGGAAUUCCUGGUGUAGCGGUGGAAUGCGCAGAUAUCAGGAGGAACACCGAUGGCGAAGGCAGGUCUCUGGGCAGUAACUGACGCUGAGGAGCGAAAGCAUGGGUAGCGAACAGGAUUAGAUACCCUGGUAGUCCAUGCCGUAAACGGUGGGCGCUAGGUGUGAGUCCCUUCCACGGGGUUCGUGCCGUAGCUAACGCAUUAAGCGCCCCGCCUGGGGAGUACGGCCGCAAGGCUAAAACUCAAAGGAAUUGACGGGGGCCCGCACAAGCGGCGGGGCAUGUGGAUUAAUUCGAUGCAACGCGAAGAACCUUACCUGGGCUUGACAUACACCAGACCGGGCCAGAGAUGGUCUUUCCCUUUGUGGUUGGUGUACAGGUGGUGCAUGGUUGUCGUCAGCUCGUGUCGUGAGAUGUUGGGUUAAGUCCCGCAACGAGCGCAACCCUUGUCUUAUGUUGCCAGCACGUUAUGGUGGGGACUCGUGAGAGACUGCCGGGGUUAACUCGGAGGAAGGUGGGGAUGACGUCAAAUCAUCAUGCCCCUUAUGUCCAGGGCUUCACACAUGCUACAAUGGUCGGUACAACGCGUCUGCGAGCCUGUGAGGGUGAGCUAAUCGCUGUAAAGCCGGUCGUAGUUCGGAUUGGGGUCUGCAACUCGACCCCAUGAAGUCGGAGUCGCUAGUAAUCGCAGAUCAGCAACGCUGCGGUGAAUACGCUCCCGGGCCU
rnacentral:rRNA from 1 species